UCCGAAUUGGUGUAGUGGCUAACAUUUGACGCUCUCAAAGUGGAACCGUCAAGCCCGGGGUUCGAUUCCCCGAUUCGGAG